rnacentral:rRNA from 1 species
GGUAGUAAUAUAUAAUAAAACCUCUAAAAAUUGGCAGUUAUAUAACUUUAAAGAAACUCGUUUUUUAAUCGACAACACCCGAUAAUUUUCACUCAGUAAUAUAGUUUAUAUACCGCCGUUACAGAGACAACAAAAAUAAAAACUCAAAAUUAAUAUUUUUUAAAAAUCAGGUCAAGGUGUAAUCUAGACCUUAGGAAAAAUAAGUUACACAUAAAACUAAAUUAAGGAACAAUAUUAAAAACCCAAAAAGAAAAAGAAUUUAUAAAUAAUUUUUAACUAAAAUUUAAAAUAGAAAACAAUUACUAUAAUAC